UCGGGAAUUUUGGGCAAUGGGGGAAACCCUGACCCAGCAACGCCGCGUGAAGGAUGAAGUAUUUCGGUAUGCAAACUUCGAAAGAAUAGGAAGAAUAAAUGACGGUACUAUUUAUAAGGUCCGGCUAACUACGUGCCAGCAGCCGCGGUAAUACGUAGGGACCAAGCGUUGUUCGGAUUUACUGGGCGUAAAGGGCGCGUAGGCGGUGUGUCAAGUCAGUUGUGAAAUCUCCGAGCUUAACUCGGAACGGUCAACUGAUACUGUCACACUAGAGUACAGAAGGGGCAAUCGGAAUUCUUGGUGUAGCGGUGAAAUGCGUAGAUAUCAAGAGGAACACCUGAGGCGAAGGCGGGUUGCUGGGCUGAUACUGACGCUGAGGCGCGAAAGCCAGGGGAGCAAACGGGGAUUAGAUACCCGUGUAGUCCCUGAGCGGGCUGGCAAGGCGCAU
rnacentral:rRNA from 1 species